UACGUAGGCAGCGAGCGUUGUUCGGAGUUACUGGGCGUAAAGAGUGCGUAGGCGGUUUCUAAGUUUGGUGUGAAAUCUCCCGCUUAACUGGGAGGGUGCGCCGAAACUGAAGGCUUGAGUAUGGGAGAGGUAAGCGGAAUUCCAGGUGUAGCGGUGAAAUGCGUAGAUAUCUGGAGGAACACCGGUGGCGAAAGGCGGCAUCCUGGACCGAUAUUGACGUCUGAGGCACGAAAGCAUGGGGAUCAAACAGG
rnacentral:rRNA from 1 species